GACGAACCGAGCGAACGUUAUUCGGAAUCACUGGGCUUAAAGGGCGCGUAGGCGGGCCGGCAAGUCCGGGGUGAAAUCCCCCAGCUCAACUGGGGAAGUGCCUCGGAUACUUCCGGCCUCGAGGGAGGUAGGGGCGUGCGGAACUUCCGGUGGAGCGGUGAAAUGCGUAGAUAUCGGAAGGAACACCGGUGGCGAAAGCGGCGCGCUGGACCUCUUCUGACGCUGGGGCGCGAAAGCCAGGGGAGCGAACGGG
rnacentral:rRNA from 1 species